CGACCCGAAAACUUAAAUGGGUCGACACAAACCCGAACCCAAAAUUAAAUGGGUUAGGUUAAGGUUGAAAAUCUCAACCCGAAAACGACCCACUUAACCCGAAAUAAAUUUCAGGUCAAAAUCAGGUCGGGUAACCCGAACCCGACCUGAUAACCCGAACUAAUUUAAGUAAGAAAAAGAAAAAAAACUUAAAAAGCUUAUUAAGCCCAGCCCAAAUUCACAAAGAGGCUUCCAUAUAUAAAUUCAAUACCCUAAAUGAACUCAUUUCCCCUCAUUGAUCUUCAGCCGUUUUUCCCCUCACUUCUCUCUCUUUAAUUUUCUCUCUCCUCAAAAACUCAUUGUUGAAUUCGACAGAGGUAGUUCCGUUAAGCCCAACUUUACCAUUGUCAUUUCCUUGACGGCUUGAAUCCUUCACUCCUCCACGAAUUCCUCUCCUUCAUCAAAGGUUUGGCAGCAAGAAGUAGCCCACCCAUGUUCAAUUGGAAAUGUUGUGGAUCAAUUUUGAAGCUUGAGGUGGUGAACAAGGAUGACAGCCAUGACAAAUUGACAGUCCCAACAUCGCCCGAUCUUAAUCCAAAUGAAAAUCUUAUUGCAUCUUCUAUUAUUUUUUGAAAACUGUAAUUUGUGUUAUUAAAACUUUAUCUUUGGUUUGUAAUUAGUGAAUUAUAAUUUUUAUUGGUUUAUUA